GACGGAGGAUGCAAGUGUUAUCCGGAAUCACUGGGCGUAAAGCGUCUGUAGGUGGUUUAAAAAGUCUACUGUUAAAAAUUGAAGCUUAACUUCAAAGAUGCCGUAGAAACUUUUAAACUUGAGGAUGGUAGGGGUAGAGGGAAUUUCCAGUGGAGCGGUGAAAUGCGUAGAUCUAGGAAAGACCACCAAUGGCGAAGGCACUCUACUGGGCCAUUACUGACACUAAGAGACGAAAGCUAGGGGAGCAAAUGGG
rnacentral:rRNA from 1 species